AACGCACCUUGCGCCUCUUGGUAUUCCGAGAGGCAUGCCUGUUUGAGUGUCUUAUAUAAUCAAUCCCCAUGGGUUUCAUUACCUGGUGGUGGACUUGGACUUGGGUGUCUGCCAUCUGGCUCGCCUCAAAGACGUUAGUGGGAUAAGCUAGCUGCCUGUGGCUCGACGUGAUAAGUUUCGUCGGACCUGGCUCCUUAUGCCCGCUCAUAACCUGCCCUUGGGCACACUGUAUGCUAGACCUCAAAUCAGGUAGGACUACCCGCUGAACUUAA
rnacentral:misc_RNA from 1 species